UACGAAGGGGGCUAGCGUUGCUCGGAAUCACUGGGCGUAAAGCGCACGUAGGCGGCUUUCUAAGUCAGGGGUGAAAUCCUGGAGCUCAACUCCAGAACUGCCUUUGAUACUGGAGUGCUUGAGUCCGGGAGAGGUGAGUGGAACUCCGAGUGUAGAGGUGAAAUUCGUAGAUAUUCGGAAGAACACCAGUGGCGAAGGCGGCUCACUGGCCCGGUACUGACGCUGAUGUGCGAAAAGCGUGGGGGAGCAAACAGGG
rnacentral:rRNA from 1 species